UACGUAGGGGGCAAGCGUUGUCCGGAUUUAUUGGGCGUAAAGAGCGUGUAGGCGGCUUUACAGGUCCGUUGUGAAAACUCGAGGCUCAACCUCGAGACGCCGGUGGAAACCGUAAAGCUAGAGUCCGGAAGAGGAGAGUGGAAUUCCUGGUGUAGCGGUGAAAUGCGCAGAUAUCAGGAAGAACACCCGUGGCGAAGGCGGCAUCCUGGACCGACAUUGACGCUGAAAACCGAAAGCUAGGGGAGCAACGGG
rnacentral:rRNA from 1 species